CUCAACAGAACUAACAAGGCAUUGGCAACUGUCCUUCUUAUACCAUGGAACAGACAGACACCUCCUGACUGCUUCUCUGAUUUCCUAACAUGUUUAUGGAUCCCAAAGCUUCAGUUGCUACAUUAAGCUUUGAUGAGAAAACACCUAUUUCUAAGACUCGGGACAAAUGUACACCAGUGGUCAGAGCAAAGAGAAGAUGAGAUGACACAAUUAUCUUACGAUGUACCUACUGGUUGUCCAUCUCUUCCAUGAGGUACUGCAAGAUUCAAAGACUCCUGUCUCAGUUUACAUGAUGGGUAAACUAAGUGUUUCAAGAAGAAAAAGGCUGACGAUCUGAGCAAUAUCACGUGUUCACAAAAUCAAAGCAAAUUCAAUUAUAUCCUGAUUGCCAAGUGAUUUAGUCUACUUCCAAGAGAACACAAAGGUAGACUAUGUCAGCCAAAAGAGUACUUGAUUUGAACAGAUGAGGAUUUUGACUAAUCUUAAUUCAGAAGAACCAAAAUAAAACACUUUCAUAAAAGGGUAGAGGG
rnacentral:lncRNA from 1 species